rnacentral:tRNA from 1 species
GCGGGUGUAGUAUAGUGGCAAUACAUGAGCUUCCCAAGCUUAGGCGGAGGGUUCGAUUCCCUCCACCCGCACCA